UCUGACGGCACCCAUUCACUGCAGAGGAACCAUUGUUCAAGAGCACUGAGUGCACACAGAAUAAAACUAUGAUGAAUUUAUGAGAGAAGCAAACCGAGACCUUCUGACAUCAAUAAAUUGGCCCUGUAUGAAGAUCUCCUGAUGGUAUAAAGAACAUAGGCCGCUUUUACAUGUCAGGAUCCACAUCGCCUAACCUGCACGCGUCAGUUCCUUACUCAAGAAGCCCUCAAGGACAGCAUCUCUUCAAUAUUCAAUGACUGCAGUGCAAUAACUUGUUUUGUUGGAAAUCUAUAUGAACGUGUAAUGGCUCUCAGUGGACGCCGCGAGAAUAUUAUUGUAGUGAGCCAGAAAUGAAGCUUUUUCUUUUUCACACCAACACAAAUUAUCCAAGACUGACUGCAGUGUUAAAAAAAAUCCAUGUUUCAGACUUUCAUUAAUAAAUCUAAAUCUCUUCAGUAAGUCAAUUUCUAUGUUGUUAAGCCACAUUUGGACUCCCCCCUUGGUAAUAGUGCCAUAUCCUGACUAUGUUAUGAUUCUAGUACACAUUGUGCUCUUUCCCACCUAUAUACCUCAUUACACAGCACCGCAGUGCUCUUAUAUCAGCCACCUUGAGAAAUUAAAACAGUUUAACAGAAUUUUAAAUGAAACCGCAAUGAUAUAAAUACUACAUUAUGGCUAAGGAAAUUCAAAUCGGACUGACAGGUGUCGCUCAUACCGAUACACUCAAUGUUACAUAAUUUAACUACAUUUGUUGCAAAAUAGACAGUGCGGAAAUUUCAACCCCUUUGAACUUGCUGGCUGGUCAUGGUUCAAUGGUGUUUGUAAUUGUGGUUUGAACAUCUAAGCAGUGAUGGUGCAUAUAAUAUAGGGAAAUUCUGUGCUUCAUGUGAGAAAUGGGAAAGGGGUUAAUUUCUUCA